UCCGGUGGUUAUAGCGUGAGGGAAACGCCCGGUCACAUUCCGAACCCGGAAGCUAAGCCUCACAGCGCCGAUGGUACUGCAAGGGGGACCUUGUGGGAGAGUAGGACACCGCCGGAC
rfam:Curtobacterium sp. Leaf261 contig_1, whole genome shotgun sequence.